ensembl:lncRNA
CUGAUGGUGUGGUUUGUGGAGAUCAAUUAGCACUGGAUUUUGCUCCAGGAUUGCUCCCCGGGGCGAACAAAUGAAGCCAACUCCUCUCCAGCGAGUUUUUUCCGCCCAUGAGUGUAUCCAAGCCAGGACUGCUGAAGCAGUUCGAAAUCCCCAGCCUUGGUUUCAUUUGAUUUUGUUGUUGCUGUUAUUGAUAAAUAUUGGGUCAUACACAAGCCACUUGUCAGAGCCUUUGGCUUCAUCUCGCAGCUGCAGCUCCUAACGAGGCAUUUGAGUCGUGUCCUAGAAACUGGAAGGAUUCGAGGGGAAAGCAAAGACACGCUCUCUGCCCCUUAAAUUUUGGAGAUGGUCCCUUAAGAUUCUAGUCCUGUCUGCUGUCACGUUUAUUUCUUAAUUUGUUCCAAUACGUGAACCCUGGGUAGAUAUGUGUAACCCCCUUAAAAAAGACUAAAAAGAUCUUUAAAAAAAGAAGAGGAGACUCUUGAUCCCAGUCCUCUAGGUUUAUGUGAAACCAAAGGAGCACAUAGAUAGACAGAUAAUUGUUGUAAUUGCAGGGGGUGAGGGUGAGGUUGUAGGUAGGGCGUUUGGGGGUUGUGUAAUCGGAGUAAUAUGUACAGUUUUUCUUUCGGCGGCGCUGUAUAUAUUCUUUCCCUUGAUACAUGUUGCACAUGAACUGAACUCAUGGUCUGCUUGUCUUAGCAUGUUUGAAGCCCCAGACAUCUAACAGUAUCAUUACAGGAAAGAGACAAAGCCCCAAAGACUCCAGGCUGCCUUGGGAGUUCAUCUCGGCGUUGAACUUUUCCGGCCAGUUCACCCGCACGUUCAGACUCCCUUGCUGCGCAGAGUGCAGGUCUUCCCCGGGCUGAAGCGGGGGUGUGGGGGAAGAAACAGCUGAUUUUCGACAUUUCACAGGGACUCUUUCUAUUUAUCAGUGUUACCGAAGUGUACGUUACUGGAAAAACAACAAAACAAGCAUAGAGCUGCAAUUUUCCAGAAAAUAGGAUCCCCAAAUAUAAAAAUAAAAAGUAGCAGAUAAGAUGUAUAAUUCAAUCAAAUUACACAAAAUUGCUUGAAAAUCCAGAACAGUAGCAAUCCAUUAUGCCUCUGUUUUAUUAGUGACAAGCACAAUUACUCUAAAAUAAAGAACACUGGUGAAUAUAUAAUUGGCUGUAAUCAUGUUAGUGUUUGAAUAAAAAUGACGGGAACAUUUAACACUUUGACAACAAAAUGUUCAGAAAUAACUUAUUUAUUCAAACAGUUUUUAUUUUCCUCCAAGUGAAGGAGAAACACAGUUUGCUUAGGAAAAUCAAUGACUUUUCCCUUCAAUAAAUAAAUAUCCAAAAGGGGAAAAAACAGCCCCACACCUCUAUAUUAUCGCUAUUAUUAUUUUUAACCAGCAAGAAGCUUAAUCCUGGGCUUGAAGUCAGCUUCUCCCAGCGGCGGUUCGGCACCAAAGUCUGCCCCCUAGAGGAGGAACUCGGAAGCUCAUCACGGCGCCAACCCCUUUUCCCGCGGUGACCUCGGGAAUUAAAGUUAAUAUUCCUUUGCAAAUUGCUCUCCAAACUGACUCCCCCACCUCACCCCCUCAUAUCCCCUUCCGCCCUACAACAGCGUCACAAUAUUUUCUUAGUAAUUGCUGUGCGCUGCUGACAAAAGCGCCGAGUCUCCGGUAGCGCGUUGCUCCGCCUGGAAAGCGCGAGGGCGCCCUGGGGAAGCCGGCCAGGGGAGUCCCGGUCCUGCGGACCAUCCCCGCUCAUCCGCUGCGCUCCAGGGCAGCCUGAAGUCGGUUCCCGGAGUGACGGCCGGCGACUCGGACACCGCGUUCCUGUGCUGCCUUUUGCGGGCUUCCUUAGAGAAAACAGUCCUGGUACGGCUGCCGGGCAGUCAGUACCUUAAGGGCUUUCCCUAGCGCACAUCUCCCCCAAGAAAAAGCCAUUAUCUAAUUAGAUCCCGGAGCCCAGUGGUUCCCUUCAUUGUCCCAGAUGGGUAUGCUGGAAAUACUGACUUAAAGAUAUUAAGGAGGAGGCCCUGCUUGCUCAAGCUCCCUGCCCCCAGGAGAGACCCAUCCGGAAGAAAUCCCUGAUUUUCACACUGGGUCCUGGAGUGCCUAGAAACUUCGGCGGGGCGCGUAGUCCCGGGACCCGAGGGACUAGGAACCUUUUCGCAUUGUAGUUCUGGUGGACCCCAUCGGUCCUUUAGGCAGAGGAAAGCCAACCUCACUUACUGAAACCAGCGCUGGGAGAUGGUGAAUGUGGCCACGGAAAGAGAAAUAACUGCUUCUGUGAGCUCCAGGCUCCCUUCAGACCCCUUCUCAGAUGGACCCAGAGCCCCGCCAGUUCCCAGGUCGUCCUCCCUGCCCCGCUUGAUCAGAAUUUUAUUUUAUUUGUUUAAAGGUAGAAGAACACAGUUCAAGUUGAAGUUCUGUUAGAAAGGCCAGGAAAGAGCAAGCGAAUUGAAGUCGCCGUGGAAAAGGCGAUGUGUGAAAUCAUCAGACUUAAAUUGGCUUUUAAUUCUUCUGUGUGGGUGUGUUUUGCCCCCCGAACCCCUCUCUCAGCUCUUCCCUUCUCUCCUCUUCUUUCCGUCCUUCCUCCUUUCUUUCCUUCCUUCCUUCGUUUUCUUCGACUUCUAAGUCCUCCUGCCCCGCAGCUUCCUAAGUGCAAGCAAAAGGAAAUAGUGGGUGUGCUGGAAGCCACCGUUGGUACCCAGAGUCUCUUGGACACCCUGUCCUGGCCCCUUGGUAGUCUCCUCGGUGGUGGAGUUGGAAUGAAACACCUGGGAGCUGUUUCUUCUUCCCCUCCCUCUCGAAGAGGACGUCUGGAUCGUGGACCGAGGAGCUAUUUCCCACGCCCAGCUUGUGAGAUCACUUCAGGAUUCCCUCCUGGCCACUUCUGUGAUGUUCUCAGCCCCAGCCUUCUGAAGAAAACUCCAUUGGGUUUACUUUUCUGUUGGAGGGAUGCUCUGGAGGAAGCACUAACUGGAACUUAGAUGGCAGCCUUUUGUCAGGCCUUCCUACUCCCUCAAAAGGGACAAUCUUUGAAAAAAAAUGAAUUGUACUCGAAACAUCAUUGUUAGUGAUCGUGGAAGCCCACAUUUUGGAGUUGGAGGGAAUCUAAGAUAUCAUGUAAUUCAGCACCUCUGGAGAAAUAUCUGAAUCAAAGCGUCCUGGAAACUGGCCUAAAAGCAAUGAAGCCAGCAGAUAAUGGACCAAAACCUCUGGAGUCAUGAGCCAAAAUAAACUUUUUCAUUUUAAAUUUGUUUUACUCAGAUAUUUUGUCACAGUGAUGGAAGGCUAAAACACAUAUGUAG